UGGAGCCUGCGGUUUAAUUGGACUCAACGCCGGGCAGCUCACCGGAUAAGACAGCUGGAUGAUAGCCGGGCUGAAGACUCUGCUUGACUAGCUGAGAGGAGGUGCAUGGCCGUCGUCAGUUCGUACUGUGAAGCAUCCUGUUAAGUCAGGCAACGAGCGAGACCCACGCCAACAGUUGCCAGCUCGUCCUCCGGGAUGGAGGGGACACUGUUGGGACCGCCUCUGCUAAAGAGGAGGAAGGAAUGGGCAACGGUAGGUCAGCAUGCCCCGAAUUAUCUGGGCUACACGCGGGCUACAAUGGGUGGGACAAUGGGUAUCGACACCGAAAGGUGAAGGCAAUCUCCUAAACCCAUCCUUAGUUCGGAUUGUGGGCUGCAACUCGCCCACAUGAAGCUGGAAUCUGUAGUAAUCGUGUUUCAAAAUAGCACGGUGAAUAUGUCCCUGCUCCUU
rnacentral:rRNA from 1 species